GAUGAACGCUGGCGGCGUGCCUAAUACAUGCAAGUCGAGCGAAUGGAUUAAGAGCUUGCUCUUAUGAAGUUAGCGGCGGACGGGUGAGUAACACGUGGGUAACCUGCCCAUAAGACUGGGAUAACUCCGGGAAACCGGGGCUAAUACCGGAUAACAUUUUGAACCGCAUGGUUCGAAAUUGAAAGGCGGCUUCGGCUAUCACUUAUGGAUGGACCCGCGUCGCAUUAGCUAGUUGGUGAGGUAACGGCUCACCAAGGCAACGAUGCGUAGCCGACCUGAGAGGGUGGUCGGCCACCCUGGGACUGAGACACGGCCCAGACUCCUACGGGGGGCAGCAGUAGGGAAUCUUCCGCAAUGGACGAAAGUCUGACGGAGCAACGCCGCGUGAGUGAUGAAGGCUUUCGGGUCGUAAAACUCUGUUGUUAGGGAAGAACAAGUGCUAGUUGAAUAAGCUGGCACCUUGACGGUACCUAACCAGAAAGCCACGGCUAACUACGUGCCAGCCGCCGCCGUAA
rnacentral:rRNA from 1 species